CCUACGGGAGGCAGCAGUAGGGAAUUUUUCACAAUGGGCGAAAGCCUGAUGGAGCAAUGCCGCGUGAAUGAUGAAGGUCUUAUAGAUUGUAAAAUUCUUUUAUUUGGGAAGAAAAACUAAAGUAGGAAAUGACUUUAGUCUGACUGUACCAUUUGAAUAAGUAUCGGCUAACUAUGUGCCAGCAGCAGCGGUAAUACAUAGGAUGCAAGCGUUAUGCGGAUUUAUUGGGCGUAAAACGAGCGCAGGCGGUGUAACAAGUUUGGUAUGAAAGGCUUGUGCUUAACGGAAGUUUGUAUGAAAAACUGUCAAUGUAGAGUGUAGUUGAGGGUGCUGGAAUUCCAGGUGGAGCGGUGGAAUGCGUAGAUAUAUGGAAGAACACCAGUGGCGAAGGCGAGAACUUAGGCUAUCACUGACGCUGAGGCUCGAAAGUGUGGGGAGCAAAUAGGAUUAGAUACCCGUGUAGUC
rnacentral:rRNA from 1 species